GACGAACGCUGGCGGCGUGCCUAAUACAUGCAAGUCGAACGAAGCUGUUUUAACUGGUGCUUGCACCGACUUAAACAACUGAGUGGCGAACGGGUGAAUAACACGUGGGUAACCUGCCCCAAAGCGGGGGAUAACAUUUGGAAACAGAUGCUAAUACCGCAUAACCACAGAAACCACAUGGUUUCUGUGUCAAAGAUGGUUUCGGCUAUCACUUUGGGAGGGACCCGCGGCGGUUUAGCUAGUGGGUAAGGUAAUGGCUUACCAAGGCAAUGAUACGUAGCCGAACUGAGAGGUUGAUCGGCCACAUUGGGACUGAGACACGGCCCAAACUCCUACGGGAGGCAGCAGUAGGGAAUCUUCCACAAUGGACGAAAGUCUGAUGGAGCAACGCCGCGUGAGUGAAGAAGGUUUUCGGAUCGUAAAACUCUGUUGUCAGAGAAGAACGUGUGCGAGAGUAACUGUUCGUGCAGUGACGGUAUCUGGCCAGAAAGCCACGGCUAACUACGUGCCAGCCGCCGCAGUAA
rnacentral:rRNA from 1 species